AUCGAACGCUGGCGGCAGGCCUAACACAUGCAAGUCGAGCGAGCGGCGGACGGGUGAGUAAUGUCUGGGAAACUGCCUGAUGGAGGGGGAUAACUACUGGAAACGGUAGCCAAUACCGCAUACCAUCAGAUGGGCCCAGAUGGGAUUAGCUAGUAGGUGGGGUAACGGCUCACCUGGGCGACGAGCCCUAGCUGGUCUGAGAGGAUGACCCGCGAGACGGGAACUGAGAGGCGGUCCAGACUCCUACGGCAGGAAGCGGUGGGAGGGAUUGUGCAAUGUGCGCAAGCCUGAUGCAGCCAUGCCGCGUGUGUGAGGAAGGCCUUAGGGUGGUAAAGCACUUUCAGCGGGGAGGCGUUACCCGGAGAAGAAGCACCGGCUAACUCCGUGCCAGCAGCCGCGGUAAUUC
rnacentral:rRNA from 1 species